rnacentral:rRNA from 1 species
GGUUAAGCGACUAAGCGUACACGGUGGAUGCCCUGGCAGUCAGAGGCGAUGAAGGACGUGCUAAUCUGCGAAAAGCGUCGGUAAGGUGAUAUGAACCGUUACAGCCGGCGAUGUCCGAAUGGGGAAACCCAGUGCAAUUCGUUGCACUAUCGUUAACUGAAUACAUAGGUUAACGAGGCGAACCGGGGGAACUGAAACAUCUAAGUACCCCGAGGAAAAGAAAUCAACCGAGAUUCCCCCAGUAGCGGCGAGCGAACGGGGAGCAGCCCAGAGUCUGAAUCAGCUUGUGUGUUAGUGGAACGGUCUGGAAAGUCCGACGGUACAGGGUGAUAGUCCCGUACACCAAAAUGCACAGGUUGUGAACUCGAAGAGUAGGGCGGGACACGUGGUAUCCUGUCUGAAUAUGGGGGGACCAUCCUCCAAGGCUAAAUACUCCUGACUGACCGAUAGUGAACCAGUACCGUGAGGGAAAGGCGAAAAGAACCCCGGCGAGGGGAGUGAAAAAGAACCUGAAACCGUGUACGUACAAGCAGUGGGAGCACCUUCGGGUGUGACUGCGUACCUUUUGUAUAAUGGGUCAGCGACUUAUAUUCUGUAGCAAGGUUAACCGUAUAGGGGAGCCGCAGGGAAACCGAGUCUUAACUGGGCGUUAAGUUGCAGGGUAUAGACCCGAAACCCGGUGAUCUAGCCAUGGGCAGGUUGAAGGUUGGGUAACACUAACUGGAGGACCGAACCGACUAAUGUUGAAAAAUUAGCGGAUGACUUGUGGCUGGGGGUGAAAGGCCAAUCAAACCGGGAGAUAGCUGGUUCUCCCCGAAAGCUAUUUAGGUAGCGCCUCGUGAAUUCAUCUUCGGGGGUAGAGCACUGUUUCGGCUAGGGGGUCAUCCCGACUUACCAACCCGAUGCAAACUACGAAUACCGAAGAAUGUUAUCACGGGAGACACACGGCGGGUGCUAACGUCCGUCGUGAAGAGGGAAACAACCCAGACCGCCAGCUAAGGUCCCAAAGUCACAGUUAAGUGGGAAACGAUGUGGGAAGGCACAGACAGCCAGGAUGUUGGCUUAGAAGCAGCCAUCAUUUAAAGAAAGCGUAAUAGCUCACUGGUCGAGUCGGCCUGCGCGGAAGAUGUAACGGGGCUAAACUGUGCACCGAAGCUGCGGCAGCGACACUAUGUGUUGUUGGGUAGGGGAGCGUUCUGUAAGCCUGCGAAGGUGGCCUGUGAGGGUUGCUGGAGGUAUCAGAAGUGCGAAUGCUGACAUAAGUAACGAUAAUGCGGGUGAAAAGCCCGCACGCCGGAAGACCAAGGGUUCCUGUCCAACGUUAAUCGGGGCAGGGUGAGUCGACCCCUAAGGCGAGGCCGAAAGGCGUAGUCGAUGGGAAACAGGUUAAUAUUCCUGUACUUGGUGUUACUGCGAAGGGGGGACGGAGAAGGCUAUGUUAGCCGGGCGACGGUUGUCCCGGUUUAAGCAUGUAGGCGGAGGUUCCAGGUAAAUCCGGUACCUUUUUAACGCUGAGGUGUGAUGACGAGGCACUACGGUGCUGAAGUAACAAAUGCCCUGCUUCCAGGAAAAGCCUCUAAGCAUCAGGUAACAUUAAAUCGUACCCCAAACCGACACAGGUGGUCAGGUAGAGAAUACCAAGGCGCUUGAGAGAACUCGGGUGAAGGAACUAGGCAAAAUGGUGCCGUAACUUCGGGAGAAGGCACGCUGAUAUGUAGGUGAAGCCCCUGCGGGUGGAGCUGAAAUCAGUCGAAGAUACCAGCUGGCUGCAACUGUUUAUUAAAAACACAGCACUGUGCAAACACGAAAGUGGACGUAUACGGUGUGACGCCUGCCCGGUGCCGGAAGGUUAAUUGAUGGGGUUAUCCGUAAGGAGAAGCUCUUGAUCGAAGCCCCGGUAAACGGCGGCCGUAACUAUAACGGUCCUAAGGUAGCGAAAUUCCUUGUCGGGUAAGUUCCGACCUGCACGAAUGGCGUAAUGAUGGCCAGGCUGUCUCCACCCGAGACUCAGUGAAAUUGAACUCGCUGUGAAGAUGCAGUGUACCCGCGGCAAGACGGAAAGACCCCGUGAACCUUUACUAUAGCUUGACACUGAACAUUGAGCCUUGAUGUGUAGGAUAGGUGGGAGGCUUUGAAGCGUGGACGCCAGUCUGCGUGGAGCCAACCUUGAAAUACCACCCUUUAAUGUUUGAUGUUCUAACGUUGGCCCCUUAUCGGGGUUGCGGACAGUGUCUGGUGGGUAGUUUGACUGGGGCGGUCUCCUCCCAAAGAGUAACGGAGGAGCACGAAGGUUAGCUAAUCCUGGUCGGACAUCAGGAGGUUAGUGCAAUGGCAUAAGCUAGCUUGACUGCGAGCGUGACGGCGCGAGCAGGUGCGAAAGCAGGUCAUAGUGAUCCGGUGGUUCUGAAUGGAAGGGCCAUCGCUCAACGGAUAAAAGGUACUCCGGGGAUAACAGGCUGAUACCGCCCAAGAGUUCAUAUCGACGGCGGUGUUUGGCACCUCGAUGUCGGCUCAUCACAUCCUGGGGCUGAAGUAGGUCCCAAGGGUAUGGCUGUUCGCCAUUUAAAGUGGUACGCGAGCUGGGUUUAGAACGUCGUGAGACAGUUCGGUCCCUAUCUGCCGUGGGCGCUGGAGAAUUGAGGGGGGCUGCUCCUAGUACGAGAGGACCGGAGUGGACGCAUCACUGGUGUUCGGGUUGUCAUGCCAAUGGCAUUGCCCGGUAGCUAAAUGCGGAAGAGAUAAGUGCUGAAAGCAUCUAAGCACGAAACUUGCCCCGAGAUGAGUUCUCCCUGACUCCUUGAGAGUCCUGAAGGAACGUUAAAGACGAUGACGUUGAUAGGUCGGGUGUGUAAGCGUAGCGAUACGUUGAGCUAACCGAUACUAAUGAACCGUGAGGCUUAACCUU